AGAGUUUGAUCAUGGCUCAGGACGAACGCUGGCGGCGUGCUUAACACAUGCAAGUCGAACGGAGCACCCUUGAUUGAGGUUUCGGCCAAAUGAUAGGAAUGCUUAGUGGCGGACUGGUGAGUAACGCGUGAGGAACCUGCCUUUCAGAGGGGGACAACAGUUGGAAACGACUGCUAAUACCGCAUGACGCAUUUUGAUCGCAUGGUCGAAAUGCCAAAGAUUUAUCGCUGAAAGAUGGCCUCGCGUCUGAUUAGAUAGUUGGCGGGGUAACGGCCCACCAAGUCGACGAUCAGUAGCCGGACUGAGAGGUUGACCGGCCACAUUGGGACUGAGAUACGGCCCAGACUCCUACGGGAGGCAGCAGUGGGGAAUAUUGGGCAAUGGGCGCAAGCCUGACCCAGCAACGCCGCGUGAAGGAAGAAGGCUUUCGGGUUGUAAACUUCUUUUAAGUGGGAAGAGUAGAAGACGGUACCACUUGAAUAAGCCACGGCUAACUACGUGCCAGCAGCCGCGGUAAUACGUAGGUGGCAAGCGUUGUCCGGAUUUACUGGGUGUAAAGGGCGUGCAGCCGGGCAUGCAAGUCAGAUGUGAAAUCUCAGGGCUUAACCCUGAAACUGCAUUUGAAACUGUAUGUCUUGAGUGCCGGAGAGGUAAUCGGAAUUCCUUGUGUAGCGGUGAAAUGCGUAGAUAUAAGGAAGAACACCAGUGGCGAAGGCGGAUUACUGGACGGUAACUGACGGUGAGGCGCGAAAGCGUGGGGAGCGAACAGGGUUAGAUACCCUGGUAGUCCACGCUGUAAACGAUGGAUACUAGGUGUGCGGGGACUGACCCCCUGCGUGCCGCAGUUAACACAAUAAGUAUCCCACCUGGGGAGUACGAUCGCAAGGUUGAAACUCAAAGGAAUUGACGGGGGCCCGCACAAGCGGUGGGGCAUGUGGUUUAAUUCGAAGCAACGCGAAGAACCUUACCAGGCCUUGACAUCCCGGUGACCGACCCGUAAUGGGGUCUUCUCUACGGAGCACUGGAGACAGGUGGUGCAUGGUUGUCGUCAGCUCGUGUCGUGAGAUGUUGGGUUAAGUCCCGCAACGAGCGCAACCCCUAUGUUCAGUAGCCAGCAUUUAGGAUGGGCACUCUGGACAGACUGCCGGGGAUAACCCGGAGGAAGGCGGGGGUGACGUCAAAUCAUCAUGCCCCUUACGGCCUGGGCUACACACGUGCUACAAUGGCGUAAACAAAGGGAAGCAAGAGGGUGACCUGGAGCGAAUCCCAGAAAUAACGUCCCAGUUCGGACUGUAGUCUGCAACCCGACUACACGAAGCUGGAAUCGCUAGUAAUCGCGAAUCAGCAUGUCGCGGUGAAUACGUUCCCGGGUCUUGUACACACCGCCCGUCACACCAUGGGAGUUGGAAAUGCCCGAAGUCAGUGACCUGACCGCAAGGAGGGAGCUGCCGAAGGUGGAGCCGAUGACUGGGGUGAAGUCGUAACAAGGUA
rnacentral:rRNA from 1 species